rnacentral:rRNA from 1 species
GUCGAGGGGCAGUCAAUCUUUCGGGAUUGAGCGACCGGCGCACGGGCGCGUAACGCGUAUGCAACCUACCUUGUACAGGGGAAUAGCCCGUGGAAACAUGGAUUAAUACCCCAUAAUAUUAUUUGAUUGCAUGGUCGAAUAAUUAAAGUUCCGACGGUACAAGAUGGGCAUGCGUAUGAUUAGCUAGAUGGUGAGGUAAUGGCUCACCAUGGCAACGAUCAUUAGCGGGUCCGAGAGGAUGAUCCGCCACACUGGUACUGAGACACGGACCAGACUCCUACGGGAGGCAGCAGUAGGGAAUAUUGGUCAAUGGGCGAGAGCCUGAACCAACCAUGCCGCGUGAAGGAAGACGGCCUUCUGGGUUGUAAACUUCUUUUAUCAGGGAACAAAAAGUCUUUGCGAAGACAAUUGAGUGUACCUGAGGAAUAAGCACCGGCUAACUCCGUGCCAGCAGCCGCGGUAAUACGGAGGGUGCAAGCGUUGUCCGGAUUUAUUGGGUUUAAAGGGUGCGUAGGCGGGGUAUUAAGUCAGUGGUGAAAUCCUUCGGCUCAACCGAAGAACUGCCAUUGAAACUGGUACUCUUGAGUACGGAUGAGGUAAGCGGAAUUUAUGGUGUAGCGGUGAAAUGCAUAGAUACCAUAAAGAACACCGAUAGCGAAGGCAGCUUACUAGGCCGUAACUGACGCUGANGCACGAAAGCGUGGGGAGCGAACAGGAUUAGAUACCCUGGUAGUCCACGCUGUAAACGAUGCUCACUCGGUGUUGGCGAUAUACAGUCAGCGCCCUAGCGAAAGCGUUAAGUGAGCCACCUGGGGAGUACGCCCGCAAGGNNNAAACUC